UACGUAGGGUGCAAGCGUUUGUCCGGAAUUAUUGGGCGUAAAGAGCUCGUAGGCGGUUUGUCGCGUCUGCCGUGAAAAUCCGAGGCUCAACCUCGGACUUGCAGUGGGUACGGGCAGACUAGAGUGUGGUAGGGGAGACUGGAAGUUCCUGGUGUAGCGGUGAAAUGCGCAGAUAUCAGGAGGAACACCGAUGGCGAAGGCAGGUCUCUGGGCAUUAAACUGACGCU
rnacentral:rRNA from 1 species